GGAGCUGUGGCUCAGGGGUGGAGCAUCUGCUUCGUGUGCAGAAGGUCCCGUGUUCAAUCCCCAGCAUUUCCA
rnacentral:tRNA from 1 species